rnacentral:rRNA from 1 species
AGCGAACGCUGGCGGCAGGCCUAACACAUGCAAGUCGAACGGAUCCUUCGGGAUUAGUGGCGGACGGGUGAGUAACACGUGGAACGUGCCCUUUGGUUCGGAACAACUCAGGGAAACUUGAGCUAAUACCGGAUGUGCCCUUCGGGGGAAAGAUUUAUCGCCAUUGGAGCGGCCCGCGUCUGAUUAGCUAGUUGGUGAGGUAAAGGCUCACCAAGGCGACGAUCAGUAGCUGGUCUGAGAGGAUGAUCAGCCACAUUGGGACUGAGACACGGCCCAAACUCCUACGGGAGGCAGCAGUGGGGAAUCUUGCGCAAUGGGCGAAAGCCUGACGCAGCCAUGCCGCGUGAAUGAUGAAGGUCUUAGGAUUGUAAAAUUCUUUCACCGGGGACGAUAAUGACGGUACCCGAGAAGAAGCCCCGGCUAACUUCGUGCCAGCAGCCGCCGUAACAC